rnacentral:rRNA from 1 species
AGUGGCGGACGGGUGAGUAACGCGUGGGUAACCUACCCAUAAAUCCGGGACAACCCUUGGAAACGAGGGCUAAUACCGGAUAAUCUUAAAGCUUGGCAUCAGGUUUUAAGGAAAGGUGGCCUCUGAAAAUGCUACCGAUUAUGGAUGGACCCGCGUCUGAUUAGCUAGUUGGUGGGGUAAAGGCCUACCAAGGCGACGAUCAGUAGCCGGCCUGAGAGGGUGAACGGCCACACUGGGACUGAGACACGGCCCAGACUCCUACGGGAGGCAGCAGUGGGGAAUCUUCCGCAAUGGACGAAAGUCUGACGGAGCAACGCCGCGUGUAUGAUGAAGGUCUUCGGAUUGUAAAGUACUGUCUUUGGGGAAGAACGAUUGUUUUGAAAAUAUUGAGACAAUAUGACGGUACCCAAGGAGGAAGCCCCGGCUAACUACGUGCCAGCAGCCGCGGUAAUACGUAGGGGGCAAGCGUUGUCCGGAAUUAUUGGGCGUAAAGGGCGCGCAGGCGGAUAGUUAAGUCCGGUGUGAAAGAUCAGGGCUCAACCCUGAGAGUGCAUCGGAAACUGGUUAUCUUGAGGACAGGAGAGGAAAGUGGAAUUCCACGUGUAGCGGUGAAAUGCGUAGAUAUGUGGAGGAACACCAGUGGCGAAGGCGACUUUCUGGACUGUAACUGACGCUGAGGCGCGAAAGCGUGGGGAGCAAACAGGAUUAGAUACCCUGGUAGUCCACGCUGUAAACGAUGAGUGCUAGGUGUAGAGGGUAUCGACCCCUUCUGUGCCGCAGUUAACACAAUAAGCACUCCGCCUGGGGAGUACGNCCGCAAGGUUGAAACUCAAA